GACGAACGCUGGCGGCGUGCUUAACACAUGCAAGUCGAACGGAAAGGCCCUGCUUUUGUGGGGUGCUCGAGUGGCGAACGGGUGAGUAACACGUGAGUAACCUGCCCUUGACUUUGGGAUAACUUCAGGAAACUGGGGCUAAUACCGGAUAGGAGCUCCUGCUGCAUGGUGGGGGUUGGAAAGUUUCGGCGGUUGGGGAUGGACUCGCGGCUUAUCAGCUUGUUGGUGGGGUAGUGGCUUACCGAGGCUUUGACGGGUAGCCGGCCUGAGAGGGUGACCGGCCACAUUGGGAAUGAGAUACGGCCCAGACUGCUACGGGAGGCAGCAGUGGGGAAUAUUGCACAAUGGGCGGAAGCCUGAUGCAGCAACGCCGCGUGCGGGAUGACGGCCUUCGGGUUGUAAACCGCUUUCGCCUGUGACGAAGCGUGAGUGACGGUAAUGGGUAAAGAAGCACCGGCUAACUACGUG
rnacentral:rRNA from 1 species